rnacentral:rRNA from 1 species
UACGGGAGGCAGCAGUGGGGAAUAUUGCACAAUGGGCGCAAGCCUGAUGCAGCCAUGCCGCGUGUAUGAAGAAGGCCUUCGGGUUGUAAAGUACUUUCAGUCGUGAGGAAGGUGUUAAGGUUAAUAACCUUAGCAAUUGACGUUAGCGACAGAAGAAGCACCGGCUAACUCCGUGCCAGCAGCCGCGGUAAUACGGAGGGUGCGAGCGUUAAUCGGAAUUACUGGGCGUAAAGGGCACGCAGGCGGUUAAUUAAGUUGGAUGUGAAAUCCCCGGGCUUAACCUGGGAAUGGCAUUCAAGACUGGUUAGCUAGAGUCUUGUAGAGGGGGUAGAAUUCCAUGUGUAGCGGUGAAAUGCGUAGAGAUGUGGAGGAAUACCGGUGGCGAAGGCGGCCCCUGGGACAAAGGACUGAUGCUCAUGUGCGAAAGCGUGGGGAGCAAACGAGGAUUAGAU